rnacentral:sRNA from 1 species
GAGAAAGCCCAGCCCCGACACCUCCGGGUGGCCGGUCCCCACGCCCUCUCACUGCGCCCUCGGUCCGCCCCAGAUCAUCCGCCAGCUGGAGAAUAACAUCGAGAAGACAAUGGUCAAGAUCAUCACCAGCCAGAACAUCCACCUGCUGUAUCUGGAUCUGCUGGAUUAUCUGAAGACAGUGCUGGCAGGAUAUCCCAUCGAGCUGGACAAGCUGCAGAACCUCGUGGUCAACUACUGCUCAGAGCUGUCGGAUAUGAAGAUCAUGUCCCAAGACGCCAUGAUGAUUACGGAUGACGUCAAGAGGAACAUGAGGCAAAGGGAGGCGUCCUUCAUUGAGGAGCGCCGGGCAAGGGAGAACCGGCUCAACCAGCAGAAGAAGCUGAUCGACAAGAUCCACACGAAAGAGACCAGCGAAAAGUACCGCCGGGGCCAGAUGGACUUGGACUUCCCCUCGAACCUGAUGAGCAUGGAGACCCUGAAAUUGAGGAGAAAAGAGACCUCCACAGCAGAAAUGGAAUACCAGGCGGGUGUGACUGCUGUGGUGGAGAAGGUCAAGAGUGCUGUACGGUGCUCUCACGUCUGGGACAUCGCUGGCCGCUUCCUGGCCCAGAGGAACACGGAGGAGAACCUGGAGCUGCAGAUGGAGGAGUGUGAGGAGCGGCGGGUGCAGCUGAAGGCCCUGGUGAAGCAGCUGGAGCUGGAGGAGGCCGUGCUCAAGUUCCGCCAGAAGCCUAGCUCCAUCAGGUGCCCCGGGCUUCCGGGGCUGCGGGCCACCCACCCCAGUCUCACGAAGGCCCCGGGCUGCAGCCAGGCUGGGAGCUGGGAGUGUACCCACUGCCAACAAGCCUGUGUGUCCCACAGAGGGGCCAGGGGACUCCACUUGCACACAUCUGAGCUUCUGAGUCCCUGAUUCUAGCACAGCACCCGACUCAGGACUGGGCUCCUGGGUGGCCCACCAUGGCCCUCGGGCCUGUGCCCCUCACUGCUGUGUCCCUAUUGCCUUCUGCAGCUUCAAGUCCAUUGAGAAGAAGAUGACAGACAUGCUAGAAGAGGAAGAAGAGAGGCUCCAGCUCGCGCACAGCAACAUGACCAAGGGCCAGAAGCUGCUGCUGACCAUCCAGAUGGGCAUCGACAACCUCUAUGUCCGGCUGAUGGGCAUUACCUUGCCUGCGACCCAGAGAGAAGUGGUGCUCUCCGACACCCUCGAUUUGAACAGCAAGCUGGCGUAUUGCGAGGGGAAGCUCACGUACCUGGCUGACAGAGUGCAGAUGGUGUCCAGGACCGAAGAGGGCUACACAAAGGUGAGGGACGCCCUGGAGUCCUCGACUCUGAAGGAGAAGUACAACACCAGGAUCAGCUUUGAGGACCGGGAGGAGGAUAUGAUCGACACCUUCCAGUUCGCCGACAUGGACCACAGCUACGUCCCUUCGCGCGCCGAGAUCAAGAGGCAGGCGCAGCGGCUAAUCGAGGGGAAGCUCAAGGCGGCCAAGAAAAAGAAGAAGUAGCCCCGCCUCCCCGCUCCCUGCUUUGUUACACAAAUAAACAUUUUUCCAGG